rnacentral:rRNA from 1 species
UGAACGCUAGCGACAGGCUUAACACAUGCAAGUCGAGGGGUAACAGGGUAGCAAUACCGCUGACGACCGGCGCACGGGUGAGUAACGCGUAUGCAACCUGCCUAUAACUGGGGAAUAGCUCCCUGAAAGGGGAAUUAACACCGCAUAACACUAUUGAUUCGCAUGGAUUAGUAGUUAAAUGUAGCGAUACAGGUUAUAGAUGGGCAUGCGUGACAUUAGCUAGUUGGUGAGGUAACGGCUCACCAAGGCUACGAUGUCUAGGGGUUCUGAGAGGAAGGUCCCCCACACUGGUACUGAGACACGGACCAGACUCCUACGGGAGGCAGCAGUGAGGAAUAUUGGUCAAUGGGCGCAAGCCUGAACCAGCCAUGUCGCGUGCAGGAAGACUGCCCUAUGGGUUGUAAACUGCUUUUAUAGUAGAAGAAACACAUCUACGAGUAGAUGUCUGCCAGUAUACUAUGAAUAAGCAUCGGCUAACUCCGUG